rnacentral:tRNA from 1 species
GGCUCGGUAGCUUAGUUGGAAAAGCACUCGUCUAGCACUCGUCUAGUCGUGGGUUCGAAUCCCACCAGAGCAC